rnacentral:miRNA from 1 species
UCAUUUUUGUGAUCUGCAGCUAGUACUCUCAUCCCAGUUGCAUAGUCACAAAAGUGGUCAUUG